rnacentral:rRNA from 1 species
CCUACGGGGGGCAGCAGUAGGGAAUAUUGCUCAAUGGGGGAAACCCUGAAGCAGCAACGCCGCGUGGAGGAUGAAGGUUUUCGGAUUGUAAACCCCUUUUGUUAGAGAAGAAAAUGACGGUAUCUAACGAAUAAGCACCGGCUAACUCCGUGCCAGCAGCCGCGGUAAUACGGAGGGUGCAAGCGUUACUCGGAAUCACUGGGCGUAAAGAGCGCGUAGGCGGGAUAGCAAGUCAGAUGUGAAAUCCUAGGGCUUAACCAUAGAACUGCAUUUGAAACUGUUAUUCUAGAGUACUGGAGAGGUAGGCGGAAUUCUUGGUGUAGCGGUGAAAUCCGUAGAGAUCAAGAGGAAUACUCAUUGCGAAGGCGACCUGCUAGAACGUAACUGACGCUGAUGCUCGAAAGCGUGGGGAGCAAACAGGAUUAGAUACCCGAGUAGUC